UCCCGCUCUGACAGUCCACCCGUACAUAUGUUUCCGUGCUUGACAUAGAGCUCAAUCACGAUACAAUGAGCGGGUAGCCGGUCAUCGAGUCGGAACAU
rnacentral:pre_miRNA from 18 species